CUGGGGCUUGGCUUGGAGCCCUGUUCCCUGAAAUACCACAGAACUGGCUUCUGAGGAGAGGCGACGUGAGCUGCUGAGCUCCAGGUUGCUGCUGUUUCCCUCCCUCAGGAUGACGUGUUCCUGCAUGUGUUGGAUGGCACCUGGCUCACAUCGUGCCGUGGUGUGGCACUCUGGGACACCUAGGAAGGUUUGCUGCGUGAUGGAGUCCAUGCUGUCUCCAUCCUCCCUUCAGUCUCCAAAUGCCUGGCUUACCAAGGAGGCCUCUUGUCUCAUGUUCAUGGAAGAGAACAGGAAGGUGACUGUGGCUGUGCUGCAUGUUGGAAACACAGGCAGCGUACUUACAGAUGAGCUUAUUAUGAGAAGAAGCCGCAUACAGACAGGAUUCUGCUACCUGUGGCAGAAAAAAGGUUUGAUCUGCGCAGGACCUCUCCAGACCCCUUCACCCUCACUUGGGAGGAAAAAUCGAACAGCAAGAAGGACAUGCUCAGAGGAGUUGGAUUACAGCUUACACGUGUAUUCGAACCCAGAGUUACACAACUGCAUGAAGAGCUGUGUGCAGAAAUGCUUUCUGAUUUCUGCUUACAACAGCCUAGGUACAAAAUCCCUGUUAUUUGUAAAGGAAACAGAAACGUUUGCUAGGUAGAGAAUUGCUGAAAAUGCUACACCUGCAAGAAGGUAGAAGAGUCCUUGAGAAUUCAGUGCUGGUUAGCACUGAUGAAACACAGGAUAGAUGGUGAAAUAUAUCCUUCAAAAACUGACACUUGUAUGUUUUGGCACUUGGAGCUUGCGCUGGUUGCUCACCCAUCGGUUGUAUUCUGACACGUAGUUCCUAGAGCUUUACUGCCUUGCACGCUUUGGCAGUUUCACUGAUCACCAGCAUUUUACUUUCCUUAUCAUUCUACCUUUAUUAGAUAAUUUUCUUCUCAAACGUCUUGAUCUCUGAGUAACAGCUCUGCUUCUGGCAGAGUCGUGCUGUUUCCAAAAGAAACAUCAAAGUGGUGUUUUCACGUAUGAGUGAAAGUGCGUUGCAGGGAAAGGCACUGUCUUAUAACCAAGUUUGUUUUUUAAGCUCAAAAUAAGCAGGAUUUGAAUGUUAUUAAAUAACAUUUUUUUUUUGUGAGAAGGAACUGGAUUUAGAAAAAUGAACCGACUCUUCAGCCAGACCCGUCAUGAAUUGCAAAAGCAGCUGGGAGAUUUGGCCUGAGAAUCAGGUUGCUUUUUCUUUUUUCUUCGUCAGAGUUUGUAAGAGAUUUGGAGGGACAUAACAUUUAUUUCCUACUUCCCUGAGCUUCAGUCCAGGCCUUGGAAAAACCCAUCUGACAAAAUGGAUGCAGUAUCAUCAGGAUCACUAGCAGACAUGGAAGGCAGCGCUGUUUGCACAGGAGUGGAACAUUCCUGGUACUGGGGCCAUGGCCACGCUCUGCAGCAGAGAGAGGACACUGCAGGGUGACUCUACAGACAGGAAUAGGAGAGACAAUGGUCAUGGUGUGACACCCUGUGUAGUAUGUGGUGCUGGGCACAUAAAGCUGAGGCACAUGAGAAAUCAUAUUGCAGGCACUGCCUUGAGCAACAGAGGUGAUGCUGAAUGUGCCAAAGAGAGCAGAUGUGCACAGACCUAUGGAGACGUGCAUAGGAUACCUAUGCAGGGUAUCCUGCUACAUGUAGAGGCACUGAAACUUCAUAGAAUUAUAGAAUGGCUUGGAUUGGAAAGGACCUUAAAGCCCACACAGUCCCAUCCCUGGCUAUGGGCAGGUUCCUCCCCAACAGCUCAGGCUGCCUGGGGCUCCAUCCAACCUGGCCCCUGUUGAUGCACCCCGGGACACAGUUGGCCUUCUGGGCUGCAACUGCACACUGCUGGCUCAUGUCAAGCUUUUGGUCCGCCAGGACCCCCAUGUCCUCGUCCACAGGGCUGCUCUCAAGGAGUUCUUCUCUCAGUCUGUACACAUAUCUGGGAUUGCACUGACCCAAGCGCGACAGCAUGCACUUGGCCUUGUUGAACCUUGUAGGUUCACACGGGCUCACUUCUCAGGCAUUUCCAGGUUCCUCUGGAUGACAUCCCUUCCUCUGUUGCACCACUGAAACACUCAGCUUGGUGUUGUCUGCACAUAGCGCGGGCUGCAGCCUGAACAAGAUCAGCUCAGGUGAGUGUUUCAGCGCACAGCCAAUCCCACUGUGUCAGGUCCACUUGGGGGAACAGCACUGACGUUCCCCUUCAUUCCUUGUGUCAUCGGGGUCUUCCAAAGGCUUCUCCCAGGAAAGCCUUUAAGUGAAUUUUCUGCUGCUGCUCAUUAAUGUUGUGUUAGUUUUAAUUUCUUCCUUGUCUUGUAUCACUAAUCAAGAAGUAAUUGAAUUAGCUGAAAAGAAGGAUAAGAUAAAUUAGCUAAGAAGAAUUAACUGUGUGCACCUGAGGUCAGCAGGCUCCUAGAAAAUUCAAGGUGAGAAUUAGUUGGACUAUGACUGAGCUUUAGCAAGGAAGUUACAAAGUUCUUUGGAGAAUCAAGAUGCAGAAAUACAAUUGACAAUCUAACCAUGAAAACCUAGAUAUAUCUGAAAGUGUUUGUGCAAUUCCUUUCUAUUUCAAGACAGGAGAGCAAAGGACUGCACUUACAUUCUUUCCAAUUGCUUUGUUUAAUGAAGGGAAUUUCCCUGAAGUUUGACUUUUCAUCCUUGUGUGAAUUGGCUUUGCCAGGAAGAUAUUUUUCCUUCUGCAUUGAUAUUAAGGCAGUAAAUUGUCUGUCCCUGUGUUCACUUGCUUGACUUUUUAAUUUUUUUUUCAUGGUUGCUCUGUAAUUUAAGUUCAUCUUUCAUGAAAACCAUAUGUUGGAUUAAAGGCAGGGUAUUAUUUUCAUGCAUUGUAAUAUACUCUGUUACCUCCUCCAUUACAGUGCCAUGUUAAAGUAAUUAUUAUUCCACGUGUCACUGUGAAUGCGUUUAAGAUUCUUUAGGUCUUCUCUAG
ensembl:lncRNA